AAUGAACGCUGGCGGCAGGCCUAACACAUGCAAGUCGAACGGAUCCUUCGGGAUUAGUGGCGGACGGGUGAGUAACGCGUGGGAACAUACCCUUUGGUAUGGAAUAGCCUCGGGAGACUGGGAGUAAUACCGUAUGUGGUCGAGAGACGAAAGAUUUAUCGCCAAAGGAUUGGCCCGCGUUGGAUUAGGUAGUUGGUGGGGUAAUGGCCUACCAAGCCGACGAUCCAUAGCUGGUUUGAGAGGAUGAUCAGCCACACUGGGACUGAGACACGGCCCAGACUCCUACGGGAGGCAGCAGUGGGGAAUCUUAGACAAUGGGGGAAACCCUGAUCUAGCCAUGCCGCGUGAUCGAUGAAGGCCUUAGGGUUGUAAAGAUCUUUCAGGUGGGAAGAUAAUGACUGUACCACCAGAAGAAGCCCCGGCUAACUCCGUGCCAGCCGCCGCAGUAA
rnacentral:rRNA from 1 species